CUCCGGUUGAUCCCGCCGAACCUGACUGCUAUCGGAUUGGUACUAAGCCAUGCGAGUCGUUGUAGCAAUACAAGGCGGACGGCUCAGUAACACGUAGUCAACCUAACCUAUGGACGUGGAUAACCUCGGGAAACUGAGAAUAAACCGCGAUAGAUCAUUAUGCCUGGAAUGGCUUAUGGUUCAAACAAUUUAUUGCCGUAGGAUGGGACUGCGGCCUAUCAGCUUGUUGGUGAGGUAAUGGCCCACCAAGGCUAUAACAGGUACGGGCUCUGAGAGGAGAAGCCCGGAGAUGGGUACUGAGACACGGACCCAGGCCCUAUGGGGCGCAGCAGGCGAGAAACCUUAGCAAUGUGCGAAAGCACGACUAGGUUAAUCCGAGUGAUUUCUGUUGAAGAAAUCUUUUGUCAGUCGUAAAACCACAGACGAAUAAGGGGUGGGCAAGUCUGGUGUCAGCCGCCGCGGUAAUACCAGCACCUCGAGUGGUCAGGAGGUUUAUUGGGCCUAAAGCAUCCGUAGCCGGCUACGCAAGUCUCCGGUUAAAUCCAGCUGCUCAACAGAUGGGCUGCCGGAGAUACUACAUAGCUAGGGAGCGGGAGAGGUAGACGGUAUUCUGUGGGUAGGGGUAAAAUCCACUGAUCCAUAGAGGACCACCAGUGGCGAAGGCGGUCUACCAGAACGCGUUCGACGGUGAGGGAUGAAAGCUGGGGGAGCAAACCGGAUUAGAUACCCGGGUAGUCCCAGCUGUAAACGAUGCAAACUCGGUGAUGCAUUGGCUUAUGGCCAAUGCAGUGCCGCAGGGAAGCCGUUAAGUUUGCCGCCUGGGAAGUACGGACGCAAGUCUGAAACUUAAAGGAAUUGGCGGGGGAGCA
rnacentral:rRNA from 1 species